rnacentral:rRNA from 1 species
UACGUAGGGUGCAAGCGUUGUCCGGAAUCAUUGGGCGUAAAGCGCGCGUAGGUGGUUAUGUAAGUCCGCUGUGAAAGUCAAAGGCUCAACCUUUGAACGCCGGUGGAUACUGCAUGACUAGAGUACGGAAGAGGCGAGUGGAAUUCCUGGUGUAGCGGUGGAAUGCGCAGAUAUCAGGAGGAACACCGGUGGCGAAGGCGGGUCUCUGGGCAGUAACUGACGCUGAGGAGCGAAAGCGUGGGGAGCGAACAGG